UUCUGGUUGAUCCCGCCGGACCUGACUGCUAUCGGAUUGAUACUAAGCCAUGCGAGUCAUUGUAGCAAUACAAGGCAUACGGCUCAGUAACGCGUAGUCAACCUAACCUAUGGACGGGAAUAACCUCGGGAAACUGAGAGUAAUGCCCGAUAGAACAUUAUACCUGGAAUGGUUUAUGUUCCAAAUGAUUUAUCGCCGUAGGAUGGGACUGCGGCCUAUCAGUUUGUUGGUGAGGUAAUGGCCCACCAAGACUAUUACAGGUACGGGCUCUGAGAGGAGUAGCCCGGAGAUGGGUACUGAGACACGGACCCAGGCCCUAUGGGGCGCAGCAGGCGAGAAAACUUUGCAAUGUGCGAAAGCACGACAAGGUUAAUCCGAGUGAUUUCUGCUAAAGAAAUCUUUUGUUAGUCCUAGAAACACUAACGAAUAAGGGGUGGGCAAGUUCUGGUGUCAGCCGCCGCGGUAAAACCAGCACCUCAAGUGGUCAGGAUGAUUAUUGGGCCUAAAGCAUCCGUAGCCGGCUCUGUAAGUUUUCGGUUAAAUCUGUACGCUUAACGUACAGGCCGCCGGGAAUACUGCAAAGCUAGGGAGUGGGAGAAGUAGACGGUACUCGGUAGGAAGUGGUAAAAUGCUUUGAUCUAUCGAUGACCACCUGUGGCGAAGGCGGUCUACUAGAACACGUCCGACGGUGAGGGAUGAAAGCUGGGGGAGCAAACCGGAUUAGAUACCCGGGUAGUCCCAGCUGUAAACUAUGCAAACUCAGUGAUGCAUUGGCUUGUGGCCAAUGCAGUGCUGCAGGGAAGCCGUUAAGUUUGCCGCCUGGGAAGUACGUACGCAAGUAUGAAACUUAAAGGAAUUGGCGGGGGAGCACCACAAGGGGUGAAGCCUGCGGUUCAAUUGGAUUCAACGCCGGG
rnacentral:rRNA from 1 species